GGAGCUUGUAUGUGCACUCGGCACGUGUGGAGGCAGCGGUCGGAACGUAAUGGAGUGAAUGAGACAUGGAGGGGAAAGGGAAUUUAGGGAGAAGAACUGUGUGGAUUACACAGUGCCACCGAUGCGGCCCAAUACCAAGGACUGUGGGCUGUCCUUCUCCGUGGACGAUGUGAGUCAGGCAUUUAAGCGUGUUAACCCUCGCAAGGCUGCCGGCCCAGAUGGCAUCCCUAGCCGCGUCCUCAGAACAUGCGCAGCCCAGCUGGCUGAAAAGUUAAUGGACAUAUUCUCUCCCAAUCCCAGUCUGCUGUUCCCUUCAUGCUUCAAGAUGGCCAACAUUGUUCCUGUACCCAAGAAAGCAAAGGUAACUGAACUAAAUGACUAUCGCCCCGUUGCACUCACUUCUGUCAUCAUGAAGUGCUUUGAGAGACUUGUCAAGGAUCAUAUCACCUCUACAUUACCUGACACCGGCCUAGACCCACUCCAAUUUGCUUACCGCCACAAUAAAUCCACAGACGAUGCAAUCGCCAUCGCUCUGCACACUGUCCUAUCCCAUCUGGACAAGAGAAAUACCUAUGUAAGAAUGCUGUUCAUCGACUACAGCUCAGUAUUCAACACCACAGUACCCUCCAAGCUCAUCAUUAAGCUCGAGGCCCUGGGUCUGAACCCCGCCCUGUGCAACUGGGUACUGGACUUCCUGACGGGCCGCCCCCAGGUGAUGAAGGUAGGAAACAACACCUCCACUUUGCUGAUCCGCAACACUUGGGCCCCACAAGGAUGCGUGCUCAGCCCCCUCCUGUACUCCCUGUUCACCCAUGACUGCGUUGCCACGCACACCUCCAACUCAAUCAUCAAGUUUGCAGAUGACACAACAGUAGUCGGCCUGAUUACCAACAAUGAUAAGACAGCCUACAAGGGUGAGGUGAGUGCCCUGGGAGUGUGGUGCCAGGAAAAUAACCUCUCACUCAACAUCAACAAAACAAAGGAGCUUAUUGUGGACUUCAGGAAACAGCAGAGGGAGUACCCCCCUAUCCACAUCAACGGGACUGCAGUGGAGAAGGUGUGUAAUUGUUGUGAAAUUGUUGGAGAUAGAAACACAAGCAUUUCGCUACAACCGCAAUAACAU
rnacentral:lncRNA from 13 species